CCACUAUCAUGUAAUCAUGUUGGGCUGUUAUCAAUAUAUUAUCUUAUCACUAUAAUAUGAUAAUAUAAUCAUGGGAAUCAAAUUAUUCAAAAUUUAAACAUGCUUUACAUUUUUCUUGUGCUUCGACCACACUCGUAAUUUCUUUUGAUAUUUGUAUACUACCAUAAAUUGUAUACUAUUAAAAAUGAUUAACGGCAUAUCUUCACAAAAUAAUUCAUUAUACAUACCAGAUACAUUUGAAAAGUUAAUAAUUUUCUAAACUGGUUGAGUCGACUUCGUCUUGCAAACAUAUUUUAUUGUAGAAAUAUUAUUUUUGUCAUUUAAUUGUUAUGCUCACUGCUAAGAUUCUAAAAAACAUCAAUUGGCAAUUUUUGUCAUUUAAUUGUUAUGCUCACUGCCAAGUUUCUUUCUCAAUGGAUUUUAUAAAAAUAUCAACAAAUUCCUGUGUGUUGUCCUCUUAAUAUGAAAUCCAACAGCUCAACAAUUUGAAUUAUGGUUACCUAUACUUUAUUUAGUUUACUUUAUUAAGUAUUUACU